rnacentral:lncRNA from 1 species
GUCUAUCUACUGAAGAUGCCCGUGGUGUUGGUGGUCUGUCUUGAGACAUUGUUGCCACUCCUUCCUGAAGAAGGAACUAGUACACUCCCACUCUUGGGUUUCAAAUGAAUAGACUGGUUGCUGACCUUCCCGCCUGGAGGGGGAGAUCCUGUCCUUCAGUGUGUGGUCUGGGGGUGCUGGUUGUCUGGCUGGCUGGCAGGAUCUUGGCCAACACUGUCCCUGACCAGGUCAGCCCCAUCCACUCUGGAGCACUUUGAGAACACGGAGCUCAAAACAACAACAGCAGACAUUGUGUCUCUGCAGAUAAGACUGUUAAAGCCAGGAUUUUGUGGGAUAAGACUGGUGCAAUACUCAUGACUGCGAGACGCCCUGGAUGAUCCUUGUGGAGAGAGGAGGCCUCUGAGCUGUCCUCUCUGAAGCCCCAGCUGGAAGAGCUCGGGGUCCCUCUGUACUCCGUAGUGAAAGAGGAUAUCGGCAUAGAGAUCCAGAACUUCAGACCCUACUUCAAUGGCGAGAUCUUUGUGGAUGAGAAGGUCCGAUUAUUAUAUACAGUGCAUUCGGAAAGUAUUCAGACCCCUAAAAUUGAUUAAAUAGUGUUUUUCCCUCAAAUCUACACACAAUACCCCAUAAUGACAAAGCAAAAACAGGUUUUUAGAAAUGUUUGCAAGUGUAUAAAAAAACUAAAUAAAUGAAAUACAACAUUUACAUAAGUAUUCAGAUCCUUUA